UACCAGCUCCCUGAGUGGUAAGGACGAUUAUUUGGCCUAAAGCGUCCGUAGCCGGCUUAUCAAGUCUCUUGUUAAACCCAAUGAUUCAAUCAUUGAUCUGCAAGAGAUACUGUUAUGCUAGAGGACGGGAGAGGUCGACGGUAGUCCAGGGGUAGGGGUGAAAUCCUAUAAUCCUUGGAGGACCACCAGUGGCGAAGGCGGUCGACUAGAACGUGCCUGACGGUGAGGGACGAAAGCUGGGGGAGCGAACCGGAUUAGAUACCCGGGUAGCCCCAGCUGUAAACGAUGCGGGCUAGGUGUUGGGGUAGCUACGAGCUACUCCAGUGCCGCAGAGAAGUUGUUAAGCCCGCCGCCUGGGGAUACGGCCGCAAGGCUGAAACUUAAAGGAAUUGGCGGGGAGCACCACAAGGGGUGAAGGCUGCGGUUU
rnacentral:rRNA from 1 species